AUACAGAGUACAUUUUGGAAAGAAAAUAACUUCGCUGGCUUUUUGCUGUCAGAUAAUUUUGUGUUCUAUGUCUUUAUAGAUGUCUAUUUAUUAGUUGUCCUGUGUGAAAUAAAAUAAGCAUCAUGACUUGAAAUUCAUGGCAUUACAGAACACAGAGUGCAAGCUAGGAGAAUUUUUAACAACACAUAGAUGAGUGGACCAAGGAAAGAUCAGACCUCCAGAUAUUCAAGGCCAGUUGAAGAAAUAGUGCAACUCACACAGCGUUUCCACAAGAACAAGGACCAAGUGCAACCUGCAGGCAAAAGCUGUGGUUUGCACAAAGACAGAGUGGAGAACAAUUGGACAGGCAUCAACACUGAAUGAAGAAAAUUUUGGAGCCCACCUACCCUACUGUAGAGCCUUUGUGCUACAGCUCAGACUCAGACGUGAAAACAUAAAUGCCAUAAUGCAAAAGCACCGAAGUCUUCUACUGGAUCUGGCCCAAGGAUCUCUCAAUUCUUUCCACGUGUUUCCAUGUGCAAGACUUCUGCUGGUCUAAGCCACUUUCCCCUCCACAAGCAACAACUUCAGCACACAGCAGAAAGCUGCACGGUAAACAAACAGAAACUGGAACAUAAUGUCAUCUUCAGAAAAAAAAGUGUGCACAUCAACAGUAAGGAAAAGCCCCAUACGGUUCCCAGAAAAGACCAUAUGAACCAGAAGAACUGGCUGUUGGGCCCAUGCAUCCUGUGUGUCCUUAUGCUUGGGACAAUGAUGGCCUUCUGGAAAUUUUCAGAAAUCUCUGUUUGGCUGAGGAUGGAGAAGUCAGAAAGGGUGCCAAAAUCUUUUCCCAUACCUGACCAGACUUGGAGGAGUAACAUCUUUCCUCUGACACAUGUAACAUUGCUAUAUCUUCUCUACCAAUUGCUCCCCUACUGAGACAUCCCAAGAUUUCAUUAGCCUUCUGACCACAUUUCAGUAGCUAAGUAAGUAAUUUUGAUCUCUGAGCCAUCGAGUAGAAAGGUUGCACAAUUAUGCG
rnacentral:lncRNA from 1 species